rnacentral:misc_RNA from 1 species
ACGAGUCCUUCGCUCAGUGCCGGCCCAGCCGGACAGAGUGUUAAACCCACUGUGAACCACAAUCAUCGUCUGCUUUGGCAGCCGGCCAGGUGCCUCAGCGCGCCCGCGCCGUAAGCCUGCCGGCAGCACCCUUCUAAACCUUUUUUCAAAUUGAACAUUCCAGUCGGACGUCAAUUUCGAAUGAAAAUCA